GACGUAGGGCGCGAGCGUUUGUCCGGAUUUAUUGGGCGUAAAGAGCUCGUAGGCGGCUUGUCGCGUCGACUGUGAAAUCCCCGCGGCUCAACUGCGGGUCUGCAGUCGAUACGGGCAGGCUAGAGUUCGGUAGGGGAGACUGGAAUUCCUGGUGUAGCGGUGAAAUGCGCAGAUAUCAGGAGGAACACCGGUGGCGAAGGCGGUUCUCUGGGCAUUACCUGACGCUGGAGGAGCGAAAGUGUGGGGAGCGAACAGG
rnacentral:rRNA from 1 species